AGGAGCUGCCCCCUGGUGGUCAGUGUGCUCCCAUAGCGGGAGAGCCCGCUCAGCCAAAAGCCCUAAACCAGGCUCAUGGCUGGCGAGCACAUUGGCGGUGGCGGGAGCCUCUUCCAUCUCUGCAGCAGCACUAAGGACCUAAGGAGCGAGCGGUGAGCAGUAAGGAGCAAGUGGCUGUACUGAGAACAUACAGCAGUUAAGCUAGCCUCUACCAUGAAGAUGAAGUGGCAACCAAAGAAAUGGUUGAACAGAAGGACAGAGGAAACCUGGUCCCCAGGUCAACCUAUGCAAAGUUCCCUACCUUCCGCAGACACCAUGCCUCCCUAUUCCCUUCUGUCUCAUUCGAGCCAGAGUAAUUUGGGGUCUUUUUGUAGCAGACUCAUAUCUUAAUAAAUUUAUAGAAAGAUAAUAGAAAUUAA